rnacentral:pre_miRNA from 1 species
UAUUAGGUUGGCGCAAAAGUAAUUGCGGUUUUUGCCAUCACUUUUUGUCAUCACUUUUUGAUGGCAAAAACUGCAAUUACUUUUGCGCCAACCUAAUA